rnacentral:rRNA from 1 species
AACGGAGGAGACAAACGUUAUCCGGAGUUACUGGGCGUAAAGGGCGUGUAGGUGGUUGUGUAAGUCUGGCGUGAAAUUUUUCGGCUUAACCGGGAAAGGUCGUCGGAUACUGCAGAACUAGAGGACGGUAGAGGCGUGUGGAAUUCCGGGUGUAGUGGUGAAAUGCGCAGAUAUCGGGAGGAACACCAAUGGCGAAGGCAGCUCGCUGGGACGGUACUGACGCUGAGACGCGAAAGCGUGGGGAGCAAGCAGG